rnacentral:rRNA from 1 species
AGAGUUUGAUCCUGGCUCAGGACGAACGCUGGCGGCGUGCUUAACACAUGCAAGUCGAACGGAAAGGCCCUUCGGGGUACUCGAGUGGCGAACGGGUGAGUAACACGUGGGUGAUCUGCCCUGCACUUUGGGAUAAGCCUGGGAAACUGGGUCUAAUACCGAAUAUGACCAUGCGCCUCCUGGUGUGUGGUGGAAAGCUUUUGCGGUGUGGGAUGGGCCCGCGGCCUAUCAGCUUGUUGGUGGGGUAAUGGCCUACCAAGGCGACGACGGGUAGCCGGCCUGAGAGGGUGACCGGCCACACUGGGACUGAGAUACGGCCCAGACUCCUACGGGAGGCAGCAGUGGGGAAUAUUGCACAAUGGGCGCAAGCCUGAUGCAGCGACGCCGCGUGAGGGAUGACGGCCUUCGGGUUGUAAACCUCUUUCAGUGCCGACGAAGCGCAAGUGACGGUAGGCAUAGAAGAAGGACCGGCCAACUACGUGCCAGCAGCCGCGGUAAUACGUAGGGUCCGAGCGUUGUCCGGAAUUACUGGGCGUAAAGAGCUCGUAGGUGGUUUGUCGCGUUGUUCGUGAAAACUCACAGCUCAACUGUGGGCGUGCGGGCGAUACGGGCAGACUUGAGUACUGCAGGGGAGACUGGAAUUCCUGGUGUAGCGGUGGAAUGCGCAGAUAUCAGGAGGAACACCGGUGGCGAAGGCGGGUCUCUGGGCAGUAACUGACGCUGAGGAGCGAAAGCGUGGGUAGCGAACAGGAUUAGAUACCCUGGUAGUCC